UACGUAGGUGGCAAGCGUUGUCCGGAUUUAUUGGGUUUAAAGGGUGCGUAGGCGGUCUUAUAAGUCAGUGCUGAAAUAUCCCGGCUUAACCGGGAGGGUGGCAUUGAUACUGUCGGGCUUGAGUACAGACGAGGUAGGCGGAAUUGAUUGUGUAGCGGUGAAAUGCAUAGAUACAAUCAAGAACUCCGAUUGCGUAGGCAGCUUACUAGGCUGUAACUGACGCUGAGGCACGAAAGCGUGGGGAGCGAACAGG
rnacentral:rRNA from 1 species